GUGGGGAAUCUUCCGCAAUGGGCGCAAGCCUGACGGAGCAACGCCGCGUGAAUGAAGAAGGCCUUCGGGUCGUAAAGUUCUGUCUUUAGAGAAGAAGUCUCUCUAUGUGAAUAAUGUAGAGAGGUGACGGUACCUAAGGAGGAAGCUCCGGCUAACUACGUGCCAGCAGCCGCGGUAAUACGUAGGGAGCAAGCGUUGUCCGGAAUUACUGGGCGUAAAGGGCGCGUAGGCGGAUAAUUAAGUCAGGUGUGAAAACUCUGGGCUCAACCUGGAGAUUGCACUUGAAACUGGUUAUCUUGAGGGCAGGAGAGGAAAGUGGAAUUCCUAGUGUAGCGGUGAAAUGCGUAGAUAUUAGGAGGAACACCAGUGGCGAAGGCGACUUUCUGGACUGCACCUGACGCUGAGGCGCGAAAGCGUGGGGAGCGAACGGGAUUAGAAACCCCUGUAGUCC
rnacentral:rRNA from 1 species